GCCCCCGUGGCGGAAUUGGUAGACGUAGUAGAUUUAGGAUCUACCGCUUAACGGUGUGUCGGUUCGAGUCCGGCUGGGGGUA
rnacentral:tRNA from 1 species